AAAAUAGGUCUGUACAUUUUUGAGCACCCAAAGUGGUAAGAGACAUUCUUGAAAACAGCUUAAAAAUUUCUGUAGAUACCACCACAAAUAAUCCACACAAUACUUCAACAAGCAUUUAUUAAACGCCUACUAUGUGCUCAGCACUAUACUAGGCACUCGGGGGUGCAGAGAUACAAAUGUAAAAGUUAUUAUUCCUGCCCUCAAGGAGCUUACAAUUUAAUUUUGGAAAUAAAUACAAAUAUGAAACUGUAACACAGAGUGCUAGAAAAUAAUUACAAAGCAACAUAUUAGUAAGUACAUGGACCACAGUACAAACUCAAAAGAUAAGUGCUGAGGCAGCACAGAAUGAGGGAGGUCAUCGCAUGAGGUGAUGUCAAUCAGGGAGAGCUCAGUCAGAAGAUAUAAAGGAAGAAAGGCUUUGAAGGGAGUGAUGAACAUGAGCUGGGACCAAAGAGCAAUCUAAGCAAAAAGAAUAGCAUGAGAAAGGCACAGAGGCAAGAGCUUGUAAGACAUCAGUAGAAGGCUGUAGGAAGUUUGAAUCUGUUGAAUCAAGGUGAAUAUGCUAGAGAGUAAUGAAGGCUGAUGAAUAUUAGGCAUAGAGGUAAUGGAGAAUUUGGAACACCACUGCUCCAUAGGAAUUAUCUACUGGGUGUUACUUAGUGAAAAUGAAAUUUUACAAUAGAGAUAUUGUAAAAAUGGGUGUUUGAGGAGGAUCGUCUUUGAAAAAUUAUCUACUGGGUGUUACUGAAAAUGAAAAUUUUACAAUACGGAUAUUGUAAAAAUGGAGUUUGAGGAGGAGCACCUUAGAAACUUUAUACAAGAUGGGGAUCCUGGGAGCAAGGAAAUUGGAAAAAAAAGAAUUACAGUAACCUGGGCCUCAGAUCUACAUGAAAAGCUAUAAUGGGAUGAGAGAAAUGGGAGAUCAAGCCUCAAGGAGAAAACUGAUUAAAAACUGGACUGACAGCAAGUUUUUGGACAUGGAGAAUGGAGAGCAGAAAAAGAUAACUCCAAGAGUAAAGUUAACUGCUCUGUUUGGGAAUCAACCACCAUAUUCUAGCACUGCACCUUGCUCCAUGGAGAAAAUCUCUGAAACCUAACAUGCCUCUCCCAGGGCUAUGUUGGAUGGCAUUAGAGUUAUGAAAGAACCACCUUAUCAUGUCAGUUCCUAAAAUGAGAAGCUUAGGAUGGGAGGAGAAAGUACUGAUGAAUAGUUCAUUUCAGAUGAACAUAAAGAUAGAAUCUAUAGGAUAAAGGAGCUUAAUGAAUGCCAUUCACAGUUAAGAGCUCAAAAUGUCAUACAGCCUAGUCAAUAAUAUUCUAUGCUAAGAGUGUGAACUUGAGACAAAGAAUGAUUUCUAGUGAUGUCCUCAAAGAAUCCACAGCCUUUUUCUAUUGUCUUAUACCAUUUGGCUAAUUCUGUAUAUGUGCUGUAUCAGCUUUGAUAAUUCUUUCAAGACACAGUCUUUUCUCACACCCAAUAUAACACUAAUUUUUCUAGUCAUAUUAUUUUCUCCAAAUUUAUGCCACAUGCUUAGUAAUUCUGAGAUUUAAGUAAUCUGGCUACAUAUUACUCUUAAUACUGACACAUAAAGAGACUUUAGCUAGUACAUCUGUAUACAUUUCAAUGUGUUGCUCUGGUCUAUGGCCAUACCACCCUGAAUGCACCCAAUUUUGUUAAUAUGUUGCAUUGCUAAAAGGACUUU
rnacentral:lncRNA from 10 species